rnacentral:rRNA from 1 species
AAUAGAUACCCAGGUAGUCCACGCCGUAAACGAUGGAUGCUAGCUAUUGGAGGGAAUCGACCCCCUCCGAAGCGAAGCUAACGCGUUAAGCAUCCCGCCUGAGUAGUACGAGCGCAAGCUUAAAACUCAAAGGAAUUGACGGGGACCCGCACAAGCGGUGGAGCGUGUGGUUUAAUUCGAUGGUAAACGAAGAACCUUACCAAGGUUUGACAUCCCGGUAGCCGUUCUCCGAAAGGAGAAUUUCAUUUAGUUGGACCGGUGACAGGUGAUGCAUGGCCGUCGUCAACUCGUGUCGUGAGAUGUUGGGUUAAGUCCCGCAACGAGCGCAACCCUUAUGAUUUAGUUGGUAUUUUUACUAAACAGACUGCCCUGGUAACAGGGAGGAAGGAGGGGAUGAUGUCAGGUCAGUAUUUCCCUUACACCUUGGGCGACACACGCGCUACAAUGGCCGGUACAAUGGGCAGCUAAGCCGCGAGGUGGAGCAAAUCCCAUCAAACGCCGGUCCCGAGUUCGGAUUGCAGGCUGAAACCCGCCUGCAUGAAGCCGGAAUCGCUAGUAACC